rnacentral:rRNA from 1 species
GAUGAACGCUGGCGGCGUGCCUAAUACAUGCAAGUCGAGCGAACGGACGAGAAGCUUGCUUUUCUGAUGUUAGCGGCGGACGGGUGAGUAACACGUGGAUAACCUACCUAUAAGACUGGGAUAACUUCGGGAAACCGGAGCUAAUACCGGAUAAUAUUUUGAACCGCAUGGUUCAAAAGUGAAAGACGGUCUUGCUGUCACUUAUAGAUGGAUCCGCGCUGCAUUAGCUAGUUGGUAAGGUAACGGCUUACCAAGGCAACGAUGCAUAGCCGACCUGAGAGGGUGAUCGGCCACACUGGAACUGAGACACGGUCCAGACUCCUACGGGAGGCAGCAGUAGGGAAUCUUCCGCAAUGGGCGAAAGCCUGACGGAGCAACGCCGCGUGAGUGAUGAAGGUCUUCGGAUCGUAAAACUCUGUUAUUAGGGAAGAACAUAUGUGUAAGUAACUGUGCACGUCUUGACGGUACCUAAUCAGAAAGCAACGGCUAACUACGUG